GCCCGAGUGGCGGAAUUGGUAGACGCAGGGGAUUCAAAAUCCCCCGAUGGCAACAUCUUGUCGGUUCGAGUCCGACCUCGGGUA
rnacentral:tRNA from 1 species